rnacentral:rRNA from 2 species
UACAGAGGGUGCAAGUGUUGUUCGGAAUCAUUGGGCGUAAAGGGCGCGUAGGCGGUGUGAUAAGUCAGGUGUGAAAGCCCUGGGCUUAACCCAGGAAUUGCAUUUGAAACUGUCACGCUAGAGUGCGAAAGAGGAGGGUGGAAUUCCCGGUGUAGAGGUGAAAUUCGUAGAUAUCGGGAGGAACACCAGCGGCGAAAGCGGCUCUCUGGGUCGACACUGACGCUGAGUGCGCGAGAGCGUGGGGAGCAAACAGG